rnacentral:lncRNA from 1 species
AGGCAAAUGUAUUUUUAAAUAUUUUAUUUUGAGGCAACUUUUGUUCCAAAAGUUAGAUCAUAUGAAGAUAUGAUUUUACAAAUUUUGUCGCAUUUUAUUUGGAGUGAUUUGGAGCUUUGAAUCAAUUUUGAGGUGCAAAAACAGAAAAUAGAAAAAAGAAAAGAAAAACCGAAGCCAAACCGGACCGGACGGGACCGGACCGGCCCAGCCCGAGCCGCCCGGACGCCCCACUGACCGGCGAGCCCCACCAUUGUCUUCUUCCCCAACUACCAAGCGAGAUCCCCGGCCACGACGCCCGCGAGCACGCGCACGAUCCAACCUCGAUUUCUCCGCGCACGAGCCCUCUCUCAAAUCCCUGCGCGUCACCCUGACACCCUCUUCUUUCUCCUCCACUUUCCCCAAACCUCACGUCCGAUUUCGCACCGGUUAGAGUUUAAUUUCUCGCCGGAGUUCGUUACUGCCGUCGCCGUUCUUCGCGUUUUCGCC